rnacentral:rRNA from 1 species
UACGUAGGGGGCAAGCGUUGUCCGGAAUCAUUGGGCGUAAAGCGCGUGUAGGCGGCCCGGUAAGUCCGCUGUGAAAGUCCAGGGCUCAACCCUGGAAUGCCGGUGGAUACUGUCGGGCUCGAGUCCGGAAGAGGCGAGUGGAAUUCCUGGUGUAGCGGUGAAAUGCGCAGAUAUCAGGAGGAACACCGAUGGCGAAGGCAGCUCGCUGGGACGUGACUGACGCUGAGGAGCGAAAGCGUGGGGAGCAAACAGG